CCUACGGGAGGCAGCAGUGGGGAAUUUUGGACAAUGGGCGAAAGCCUGAUCCAGCAAUGCCGCGUGAGUGAAGAAGGCCUUCGGGUUGUAAAGCUCUUUUGUCAGGGAAGAAACGGUGAGAGCUAAUAUCUCUUGCUAAUGACGGUACCUGAAGAAUAAGCACCGGCUAACUACGUGCCAGCAGCCGCGGUAAUACGUAGGGUGCAAGCGUUAAUCGGAAUUACUGGGCGUAAAGCGUGCGCAGGCGGUUUUGUAAGUCUGAUGUGAAAUCCCCGGGCUCAACCUGGGAAUUGCAUUGGAGACUGCAAGGCUAGAAUCUGGCAGAGGGGGGUAGAAUUCCACGUGUAGCAGUGAAAUGCGUAGAUAUGUGGAGGAACACCGAUGGCGAAGGCAGCCCCCUGGGUCAAGAUUGACGCUCAUGCACGAAAGCGUGGGGAGCAAACAGGAUUAGAUACCCUGGUAGUCCACGCCCUAAACGAUGUCUACUAGUUGUCGGGUCUUAAUUGACUUGGUAACGCAGCUAACGCGUGAAGUAGACCGCCUGGGGAGUACGGUCGCAGAUUAAAACUCAAAUGAAAUUGACGG
rnacentral:rRNA from 1 species